rnacentral:rRNA from 1 species
GACGAACGCUGGCGGCGUGCCUAAUACAUGCAAGUCGGGCGGAACUGGGGGAGCUUGCUCCUUCCAGUUUAGCGGCGGACGGGUGAGUAACACGUGGGCAACCUGCCCUGCAGAUCGGGAUAACUCCGGGAAACCGGUGCUAAUACCGAAUAGUUUGGCGCCUCUCCUGAGGCGCUACGGAAAGACGGUUUCGGCUGUCACUGCAGGAUGGGCCCGCGGCGCAUUAGCUAGUUGGUGGGGUAACGGCCCACCAAGGCGACGAUGCGUAGCCGACCUGAGAGGGUGACCAGCCACACUGGGACUGAGACACGGCCCAGACUCCUACGGGAGGCAGCAGUAGGGAAUCUUCCGAAAUGGACGCAAGUCUGACGGAGCAACGCCGCGUGAGUGACGAAGGUUUUCGGAUCGUAAAACUCUGUUGUGAGGGAAGAACACGUACCAACUAACUAUUGGUACCUUGACGGUACCUCACCAGAAAGCCACGGCUAACUACGUGCCAGCCGCCGCCGUAA